CCCUUAGAUGUUCUGGGCCGCACGCGCGCUACACUGAUGCAUUCAACGAGUCUAAAACCUGGUCUGAGAGGGCUGGGUAAUCUUUUGAAAGUGCAUCGUGAUUGGGAUAGAUGAUUGCAAUUCUUCAUCUUCAACGAGGAAUGCCUAGUAAACGCAAGUCAUCAGCUUGCAUUGAUUACGUCCCUGCCCUUUGUACACACCGCCCGUCGCUCCUACCGAUUGAACGAUCCGAUGAAAACUGUGGAUUGAGAGUCUGAGUGGGUUCGCCUACCUCAACUUUCGAGAAGCGGUUUAAAGCUUAUCGUUUAGAGGAAGGAGAAGUCGUAACA
rnacentral:rRNA from 1 species